rnacentral:lncRNA from 1 species
CCCGGGCCGCACGCACGCCAGGUGAGCGUGCUACUGCUUGAGCCACAUCCCCAGCCCUCUCACCAUAUCUUGGUGGGCGUGGCUAACAGCAGUGUGCUGCAACUGAGCAGAUAUGCCAUUAGUUGA